AUGCAUUUUUUUUUACGUCUCAGGACUUUGUGCUGCAAUCCCGUUGGGCCUUACUGUCUGAAGCAUCGGCCUUUUGCAACAUUUGAGUGGUCUGUUAUCAUCGCCCUACUGUCAAUUAUACUUAUUGCAUUGCAACAAAGAUAUUCCAACAACUAUUAUCAUCAUCCAAAUUUUGUUGGUUUCAUUAUUUUAAGUGGUGAUGAAGUUUUCUGUUAUUCCCAUUUUGAAUUGCGUCGGCAUGUGUUUGAAGUGCCAUUUGGUCUAUUGGGAUUUUAG